rnacentral:lncRNA from 1 species
GGGCCGGGCGCUGGGAGCUGGCUGUCCCAGGAGCAGAGCAGUCUCCCUGUCCAGAUCACCAGGAUCCCUGCUUGCUGGAGAAUGACCCAGAUGUCCCAGGUGCAGGAGCUCUUCCAUGAGGCAGCCCAGCAGGAUGCCCUGGCCCAGCCCCAGCCCUGGUGGAAGACCCAGCUGUUCGUGUGGGAGCCUGUGCUGUUUGGGACCUGGGAUGGUGUGUUCACAUCCUGCAUGAUCAACAUCUUUGGGGUUGUGCUCUUCCUGAGGACUGGCUGGCUGGUGGUGA